rnacentral:rRNA from 1 species
AGAGUUUGAUCAUGGCUCAGAAUGAACGCUGGCGGCGUGCUUAACACAUGCAAGUCGAGCGAGGCCUGGGGGGCAACUCCCAGAGUCGAGCGGCGGACGGGUGAGUAACACGUGGGUAACCUGCCCGGAAGUGGGGAAUACCUCGGGGAAACUCGAGCUAAUACCGCAUGACAUCUUCGGGACGAAAGUCCUGACGAUCAAAGCGGGGUCGCAAGAUCUCGCGCUACCGGAUGGGCCCGCGCCCGAUUAGCUAGUUGGUGAGGUAAUGGCUCACCAAGGCUUCGAUCGGUAACCGGCCUGAGAGGGCGAUCGGUCACACCGGAACUGAGACACGGCCCGGACUCCUACGGGAGGCAGCAGUGGGGAAUCUUGCGCAAUGGGCGAAAGCCUGACGCAGCAACGCCGCGUGGAGGAUGAAGGCCCUUGGGUUGUAAACUCCUGUCGGCUGGGAAGAAAUCGUACGGUGUUAAUACCACCGUGCGUUGACUGUACCAGCAAAGGAAGCCCCGGCUAACUCUGUGCCAGCAGCCGCGGUAAUACAGAGGGGGCUGGCGUUAUUCGGAAUUAUUGGGCGUAAAGGGCGCGUAGGCGGCUCUGCGUGUCUUCCGUGAAAUCCCUCGGCUCAACUGAGGACGUGCGGAAGAAACUGCAGGGCUCGAGUCCGGGAGAGGGGGGUGGAAUUCCCAGUGUAGCGGUGAAAUGCGUAGAUAUUGGGAGGAACACCGGUGGCGAAGGCGGCCCCCUGGACCGGUACUGACGCUGAGGCGCGAAAGCGUGGGGAGCAAACGGGAUUAGAUACCCUAGUAGUCC